rnacentral:hammerhead_ribozyme from 1 species
AUCUAGCUGAUGAAUCCCGAAAUAGGACGAAACGCAUGUCCUAGGAU